AUUGAACGCUGGCGGCAGGCCUAACACAUGCAAGUCGCACGAGUGGCGGACAGGUGAGUACUGUCUGGGAACCUGCCUGGUUGAGGGGGAUAACUACUGGGAACGGGAGCUACUACCGCAAACCAUCAGAUGUGCCCAGAUGGGCUUUGAUUGUGUUUGGGGUAACGGCUAACCACGGCGACGAUCCCUAGCUGGGCUGAGAGGAUGACAAGCCACACGGUAAAGUAGACACGGUCCAGACGCCUACGGGAGUCAGCAGUGGUGAAUAUUGCACAAUGGGCUGAAGCCUGAUGCAGCCAUGCCUCGUGUAUGAAGAAGGCCUUCGGGUUGUAAAGGACUUUCAGCGGGGAGGCGUUACCCGCAGAAGAAGCACCGGCUAACUCCGUGCCAGCAGCCGCGGUAAUAC
rnacentral:rRNA from 1 species